GGUCUGGUGGUGUAGUUGGUUAUCACGUCAGUCUAACAUCGGGAUCGCAUCUUGCGCUUCACCUGGAACACUGAAGGUCUCCGGUUCAAGUCCGGGCUAGAUCA
rnacentral:tRNA from 1 species